rnacentral:misc_RNA from 1 species
UUAACCAGUCAAGGGAUCAUGAGAAUGAUUCAAAUUUAUCAUUCAAAGCAAAGCACAAAGUGAGAUUCAAUCUAUGCUGUCAGUUGUACAAGUGAAUUUAUGGAAUUCAGGGAUCUGAGAAAAAAAAAUUGGAAAACUCCUCUGGAGUCUGGGGCAGUUACACAAUCAACCUCAUGGUGAGAUUAACCAACUUUGAUAAGCCUAAAUCCCCCAGUUUCAUUACAACACCAAAAUCCUUGAAUGAUGACGCAUCAGUCAUGGUUUCCAUUUCCACACAUUAAGAAAGGGGUUAAGGAUCUCGCCCUCCAGUAAGAAAAUUUUCUUUAACAAUCACAAGAACUUCACUGUGAAUUAUGACGACCAGCAAGAAUAGCAUCUGCAGCAGUAUCCAAGUCAUGGGGAAAGAAAACCCUACAGGUGUUAUGAUAAAUGGUCUUGCUCAUUUGAUCUAUGUCACUGACACCUUUACAGCCAGCCACAACCUCAAGAACUUGCCUGAGAACAACAGCCACAUUGUUACAGGAAACAGAGAAGGAGAGUUAACACCUGAACAAAUGCAUAAAUGGCUGAAUGUUUUACCAUCACUCUCUGUAAAAGUUUACCACCUUAUGGCGGCACUUAUGAAAAAGGCAUGAUAAACUUCCCCAACCAAAAGAAGAAUGCUUCCUCAAUCUCUAGGUGUGACAGAUUAGAUGGGUGUUUAAUGGAUACUAGUAUUUUGCUGGAAGGCAUAGCUGUCCCAACUCCCAACAUAAACUAACAUACAUAAACACGGAAACAGAUAACAAUCUAAGGCCAAUAUUUUUUGAAGGGCAAGCUUUACAUUGAAAAAGAAAGCACGGCAAUACCCAAAUAUCAUUCUUAAAAUAUUAGCAGUAAUUUUGAAGUUAGGCCCAUUAUAAUUGUGAUAGAAAUGUCUAAUGCUAAAUUGUAAGUCUCCAUCCAAAGACAUUCUCCAACAUGCAUAGUUUCCUUUGCAAAAAUUAAUAUAACAAGACAUACAUAUUCAUCUUCAAAAUUAAAAUAAAGUGCAGGAACAAAAUGUUAUAAGGAGUAAUUAGACAAAAUUUCCUCACCGAACCAAACAAGGCUCAUUCCGGCCUUUGACAAUGCAGUUCUGAUCAUACUUCUCUUUCUUCUUAGAGGGACACAAAGAUUUUACGAAAUUAAUCCCUGCAUGAGUAUUUUUGAUUUCACAAUAUGGAGAAUCUGUCUCGAUCAUCAUUCUCUCAACAGGAAUACCCUUCACGACAUCAAGGUUCUCAAUUGUCUUCAAUGAGCAACCAUUUAGACCUGUUUGCUAAAACCUCAGUAAAGAACUAUAAGCAUAUCCAAAGAUAUAUCCAGAGAUAACUUGAAAGAAAAAAAGGUGGUUUUUUUAACCUAUGUACAUAUUAUUGAAUGAGAGAAUUUUAUCACAAUCUUCUGCACUGCCAGUAAACGAAUGAGUGACCCCAGCACUGAAUCUGUAAAAUUAGAAGGAUCCACAUAUAUUAACCUGGAUAUAUAGUCACAGCCAGACUACUAUGCAUAGGUGAAAUUUUUUUUUAAGUUUGACCAAAAUUUUCUCUGGAAUUAAAGAAGAAUCGAAGACAUAGAUAGACAGAUAUAUAGAUUGAUAGAUCAUUACAUCAUUUCUGAAAGAUCAUUAUAUCAUCUACCACUUACCUUGGGGGCAUUUUCUUGGGACAUGAAAUGGUUUGCCCUAUAUUGCAUUCAAGGUGAACCAUUAACGCACAAUUUGGUGGCAACUAAUUUUCUUUCCUUCUCAUAGAAAAUGAUAAUAAUGGUCUAGAACUAAAUAUAUGAUCAAUUCACAUAAGACUACAAGCCAACACAGAGACAAUGAUAGGAAGGCAAAAUUAUUGCAAAGCAAGAUUUAGCAGAGUUUGGCAAGCUCACUUAUCCCUGUUGCGCUCCACAAUCUCACAGAAAUCAUCAGCAGCUGCACGCAUAUGUAGAAACAUAGGCAGCUUUGUGGCGUGUGCUAAUUCAAACUGCUUCUCAAAAUACCUACAUUUUCCACAUGGAUAACAGUUGCAAGCAGGAAAACACUUGAAUACUUGAUCAGAUGAAAACAGGCAACAAGGUGACAAGAAACAGAUGUAGUCCCCUAGAAGCAUUUCCACCAGCAAUGACUUACUUUUUCUGAAUCUCUGCUGGACAAAAGUGAAGCCUGUCAUAAUCUAAUCCACACUCUCCAAUUGGCACCACCUUCCCUUUCUGAAUUCCCUCUUGGGCCAAUGAGAGAAGAGCCUGAAAAUGCUGCUCUGGAUCUGCAUUUUCUUCAAACUCCUUGCACCUCGUAGGGUGGACCCCGACCGUACAAAAGAGCCUUCCAUCAGUCUCUGCAAUGGCCAGAGCUUCUUUCGACUCCUCAAGUGACCCACCAGUCACCUGUGACCACAAAUCCAACUGCAGUUGUAAGGACAGUAGUCAUUCCAUGUGAAAUAAGUGUUACAAUAAUAAACUCCAGUGUUCUUUAUCAACUAUUUUAUUUUUGUGAGUUAAAAAUUUUCUAACCUUUUAACAUUUCAUGUUCUGAAACUAAAAAAUCAGGAUAAAAAUAUAUAGCAUUAAUUGCACCAUGACUAGUCAAACCUAUUUGUUAUUUUUGUAGCUUAGAUUUUGGAUAUGUUUUUCAUAGACCCGAAUUGUGACCCGACCCGAAAGUUUCGCGCUGCAACCCAAUUGGGAUGAAAAGUGAGAUUUGUGGUGGUAUGGACCAAUAUAAAUAUUAUAAUAUUAUACCCUUUGCGGUAGACAGUGUUAUCAAGGCGAAAUGCGACAGAGCACCAUAUGGCGAGAGGCGAGAGGCGAGGCG